AAUAGAUACCCUGGUAGUCCAUGCCGUAAACGUUGGGCACUAGGUGUGGGGGACAUUCCACGUUUUCCGCGCCGUAGCUAACGCAUUAAGUGCCCCGCCUGGGGAGUACGGCCGCAAGGCUAAAACUCAAAGGAAUUGACGGGGGCCCGCACAAGCGGCGGAGCAUGCGGAUUAAUUCGAUGCAACGCGAAGAACCUUACCAAGGCUUGACAUGGACCGGAUCGCUGCAGAAAUGUGGUUUCUCCUUUUGGGGCCGGUUCACAGGUGGUGCAUGGUUGUCGUCAGCUCGUGUCGUGAGAUGUUGGGUUAAGUCCCGCAACGAGCGCAACCCUCGUUCCAUGUUGCCAGCACGUGAUGGUGGGGACUCAUGGGAGACUGCCGGGGUCAACUCGGAGGAAGGUGGGGACGACGUCAAAUCAUCAUGCCCCUUAUGUCUUGGGCUUCACGCAUGCUACAAUGGCCGGUACAAAGGGUUGCGAUACUGUGAGGUGAGCUAAUCCCAAAAAGCUGGUCUCAGUUCGGAUUGGGGUCUGCUAACG
rnacentral:rRNA from 1 species